GGGUUGUGAGGUUAAGCGACUAAGCGUACACGGUGGAUGCCCUGGCAGUCAGAGGCGAUGAAGGACGUGCUAAUCUGCGAAAAGCGUCGGUAAGGUGAUAUGAACCGUUACAGCCGGCGAUGUCCGAAUGGGGAAACCCAGUGCAAUUCGUUGCACUAUCGUUAACUGAAUACAUAGGUUAACGAGGCGAACCGGGGGAACUGAAACAUCUAAGUACCCCGAGGAAAAGAAAUCAACCGAGAUUCCCCCAGUAGCGGCGAGCGAACGGGGAGCAGCCCAGAGUCUGAAUCAGCUUGUGUGUUAGUGGAACGGUCUGGAAAGUCCGACGGUACAGGGUGAUAGUCCCGUACACCAAAAUGCACAGGCUGUGAACUCGAAGAGUAGGGCGGGACACGUGGUAUCCUGUCUGAAUAUGGGGGGACCAUCCUCCAAGGCUAAAUACUCCUGACUGACCGAUAGUGAACCAGUACCGUGAGGGAAAGGCGAAAAGAACCCCGGCGAGGGGAGUGAAAAAGAACCUGAAACCGUGUACGUACAAGCAGUGGGAGCACCUUCGGGUGUGACUGCGUACCUUUUGUAUAAUGGGUCAGCGACUUAUAUUCUGUAGCAAGGUUAACCGUAUAGGGGAGCCGCAGGGAAACCGAGUCUUAACUGGGCGUUAAGUUGCAGGGUAUAGACCCGAAACCCGGUGAUCUAGCCAUGGGCAGGUUGAAGGUUGGGUAACACUAACUGGAGGACCGAACCGACUAAUGUUGAAAAAUUAGCGGAUGACUUGUGGCUGGGGGUGAAAGGCCAAUCAAACCGGGAGAUAGCUGGUUCUCCCCGAAAGCUAUUUAGGUAGCGCCUCGUGAAUUCAUCUUCGGGGGUAGAGCACUGUUUCGGCUAGGGGGUCAUCCCGACUUACCAACCCGAUGCAAACUACGAAUACCGAAGAAUGUUAUCACGGGAGACACACGGCGGGUGCUAACGUCCGUCGUGAAGAGGGAAACAACCCAGACCGCCAGCUAAGGUCCCAAAGUCAUGGUUAAGUGGGAAACGAUGUGGGAAGGCACAGACAGCCAGGAUGUUGGCUUAGAAGCAGCCAUCAUUUAAAGAAAGCGUAAUAGCUCACUGGUCGAGUCGGCCUGCGCGGAAGAUGUAACGGGGCUAAACCAUGCACCGAAGCUGCGGCAGCGACACUAUGUGUUGUUGGGUAGGGGAGCGUUCUGUAAGCCUGCGAAGGUGACCUGUGAGGGUUGCUGGAGGUAUCAGAAGUGCGAAUGCUGACAUAAGUAACGAUAAAGCGGGUGAAAAGCCCGCUCGCCGGAAGACCAAGGGUUCCUGUCCAACGUUAAUCGGGGCAGGGUGAGUCGACCCCUAAGGCGAGGCCGAAAGGCGUAGUCGAUGGGAAACAGGUUAAUAUUCCUGUACUUGGUGUUACUGCGAAGGGGGGACGGAGAAGGCUAUGUUAGCCGGGCGACGGUUGUCCCGGUUUAAGCAUGUAGGCUGGUUAUCCAGGCAAAUCCGGAUAAUCAAGGCUGAGGUGUGAUGACGAGGCACUACGGUGCUGAAGUAACAAAUGCCCUGCUUCCAGGAAAAGCCUCUAAGCAUCAGGUAACAUCAAAUCGUACCCCAAACCGACACAGGUGGUCAGGUAGAGAAUACCAAGGCGCUUGAGAGAACUCGGGUGAAGGAACUAGGCAAAAUGGUGCCGUAACUUCGGGAGAAGGCACGCUGGUGUGUAGGUGAAGCCCCUGCGGGUGGAGCUGAGACCAGUCGAAGAUACCAGCUGGCUGCAACUGUUUAUUAAAAACACAGCACUGUGCAAACACGAAAGUGGACGUAUACGGUGUGACGCCUGCCCGGUGCCGGAAGGUUAAUUGAUGGGGUUAUCCGUAAGGAGAAGCUCUUGAUCGAAGCCCCGGUAAACGGCGGCCGUAACUAUAACGGUCCUAAGGUAGCGAAAUUCCUUGUCGGGUAAGUUCCGACCUGCACGAAUGGCGUAAUGAUGGCCAGGCUGUCUCCACCCGAGACUCAGUGAAAUUGAACUCGCUGUGAAGAUGCAGUGUACCCGCGGCAAGACGGAAAGACCCCGUGAACCUUUACUAUAGCUUGACACUGAACAUUGAGCCUUGAUGUGUAGGAUAGGUGGGAGGCUUUGAAGCGUGGACGCCAGUCUGCGUGGAGCCAACCUUGAAAUACCACCCUUUAAUGUUUGAUGUUCUAACGUUGGCCCCUNNAAAGCGUAACGGAGGAGCACGAAGGUUAGCUAAUCCUGGUCGGACAUCAGGAGGUUAGUGCAAUGGCAUAAGCUAGCUUGACUGCGAGCGUGACGGCGCGAGCAGGUGCGAAAGCAGGUCAUAGUGAUCCGGUGGUUCUGAAUGGAAGGGCCAUCGCUCAACGGAUAAAAGGUACUCCGGGGAUAACAGGCUGAUACCGCCCAAGAGUUCAUAUCGACGGCGGUGUUUGGCACCUCGAUGUCGGCUCAUCACAUCCUGGGGCUGAAGUAGGUCCCAAGGGUAUGGCUGUUCGCCAUUUAAAGUGGUACGCGAGCUGGGUUUAGAACGUCGUGAGACAGUUCGGUCCCUAUCUGCCGUGGGCGCUGGAGAAUUGAGGGGGGCUGCUCCUAGUACGAGAGGACCGGAGUGGACGCAUCACUGGUGUUCGGGUUGUCAUGCCAAUGGCACUGCCCGGUAGCUAAAUGCGGAAGAGAUAAGUGCUGAAAGCAUCUAAGCACGAAACUUGCCCCGAGAUGAGUUCUCCCUGAGACUUUAAGUCUCCUGAAGGAACGUUGAAGACGACGACGUUGAUAGGCCGGGUGUGUAAGCGCAGCGAUGCGUUGAGCUAACCGGUACUAAUGAACCGUGAGGCUUAACCUUACAACGCCGAAG
rnacentral:rRNA from 1 species